rnacentral:lncRNA from 1 species
CCCCUCCUAAAUCUCACUCCAGAAGUAUUAGGAUUUUGGGAAAAAAUUUGCUGAAAUUUCAAAUUUCAGUUUCUACCUGUGUGGAAGCAUUUUUUGGAAGUAAAUGCAUAAGAGAAAAAGAUGAACGAAGUUUCGAAGAAGGGAUUUGUUGAGUAAAAAUGAAUAUUUCUACAGUGGGUGUAUAAAAAAAAGAGUUUAAAGACUAAAAAUUUAACGUCAAUCUUUUCUAAAUUGUCAUUUUUUCUAAUUUCUCUGUUUCCUCUCCUCCUAAAACUCCAAGCAAUUGCAAUCUCGCACUUUCGUUAACCACAAUGCUUCCGUUGAAUCAGAAUUUCUUAGUGCCGACCGUUGCUUAAACCAACUAUACUUGAAUUGAGUAGAGUUAAGAAUGGACACAAAAUAUCUAAUCUAUAAGAAAAUGAAAAAUAAGAAAAAAUGUUUUAAGUUUAUACAACAAAUUGUACAUGAAUCAGGAGCUGCAACCAAAAUAUUAAUGCUUUUAUGUCAAUGUGUUGUUAGACAAAAAGUACAAAAAUUGUCAUGGUUUAACCUCCAUGAUUUAUUAAACUGUCUUCUUCCCUGCCUUGAGAAAACCAGAGCACGCUCUCGGUUCAUGAAUUACUUUUCACUAUAAGAAAAAAGAGAAUAAUUGAUAAUUAAAAAAAUCAAAUAAAGGUGUAUUUGAUAAUUAAAAAGUGCUAAGUAUUCCUGUUUCAAAUAUAUUUAUUUGACAUUUAGCUAAAUUGUCAUUUAUUUUUGUCAAUUAAAUAAUAAUCAAAUAUUUUUCACAAUAUAAGAUUGUCAAAUGUGUGUGAUACUUAAUAAUAGCCAAUAUACAUGUGACAUUGUUCAAAAUUUUCAAAUACAAAUGACUUGAUAAAAAUAUCAAAUAUUAUAAUGUUUUUAAAAAGAAAAUUACAAGGGUGAAUUUCCUUAUCUUGGGCUGCAGAUUAUAUAUAUUAUAAUAUUGAAAACCCGAUAAAACUCGAAAAAUUUCAACUAACAUCAAACACCACAAUAAAGCAUAGGAAACCUGAAUUCUUAUUAACAUGAACUUGUACAUAUAUAUAUAUAUAUAUCAAAUGUCUAAGUAUAAAUCUAAAAUAAGAUGUUUCUAAAACUAUACAUUUAAGCAUUUAGUUAGCAUUCCACCAUCGGUCCAAAAAAUUUUCACAACAGCCUUGUACAUAUGAAAAGAAAAACUAUUAAAUAAAUUUCUAUUAACCUAAUAGUUAAUGAAAAGUAUGAUACUUUAUAAACCUUAUAUCUUCUCUGAUUGUAAAUGUAUAUUGGUUACUGAAAUCUAUAUAACUCCCUAGCGUAGCCCUACACAUCAAGAAACCAAAAUUACUACCAUAUAUUGUUGUUAUUGUUUAAUAAGGAGGCUGAAAAAGCAAGUCAUGGUUACUAGUAGGGCAUUGACAAAUUUUGAUCAAAUUAAUUGAGAACUUUUUAUUCUGAAUCUAACUAGACGAUAUAAAGAGUUGCCUUAUGUAAUAAAAGCAUAAGAUAUCUAUGCACAAGCAGAAGGAAAAUUUUAUGCAUGAAAAAUAUUAAUAGUAAACUGAUGUAUUUCAAUUGAAUCAUAUGCUCUUUACCUACAUUACUUGUCUUUUGCAUUUUUUCUUUCAAAUUAAGUCAUUAAUAUAAGUGGUCCACUCAAAGCGAAUUUCGUUCAUCUCAUCUUCAUCAUCAUUAACCAUUUCUAUUGUAUCAGCAUCUUCAUAAUCUUGUUGACUACCAUCAAAUGAAGCUUUUAUUUUUUAUGGUCGUCUACUUGAAGGUCCUUCUCCAUGCCAAGUCCAUGUUUGAUAGCUUUGGUCAAUACCUUUCCAGUAAAAAUGAUUUCUUAUCUCAACAGGUACAUGAAAGACCAAAUUUCCACAUGCUUGGCAUGGACAUCUCAAAAGUUCUGGAUUAUUAGCAUGAAGUAUUGCAAACUUGAGAAACUCAUUUACCUCAUUCUCAUAUUCUAUAGACCUUCUAUCCAUCAACAUCCAAAAUUAUCCAUACUUAAACUAUUAACUUUCCUACAAAUCCAUCACAUUUUAUUCAUUCAAUUUUAUUAAUAUUAGAAAUUGAUAUUGUUUACAACCACAAGCACAACUAAUAAAAUUAUAGAAUCAACCCAAAAAAAAGGGCAACGAGUUCACAAUUUGACUAAUUAAGCAACUAGAGUGUCUCUAAUAUAGUUUCUGCUCCUAUAUCUCUAUGAUUGUCAAGAAUCUAACAGAUGUUAUACAUAGAUAUUUGUAGUUUAUUAUUAAUAAAAUGAAGGUUUUGGUAUUGAUUUCAUUAAUUAUUUUAUUGAUUCAAUAGAAACAAGUUCCAAGUCUGAUAAGUGGAUUCAUUAAUUGAGCAACCAAAGUCCUUAACUUGUGCCCUACCCAUUGAACUGCUGUAGCAUAAAUUAACAUUUCUAAUCUGCAAGCAAUUUGAGAACUAUUGCAGUUAUGUAAUUUUCCUUUGUUCAAAUGUAUGAAACAGACCAAAUUGAAGGAAAGUACAUUACGUUAAUAUUAUUACAAGAGACAUCUCAGUAAGAUGUUUGCUAAAAACAAAAAUAAAUUUUUAAAGAGAUAUUUCAUCAAACAAGUAAUGUGCAUUCAAAUAGCAGAACACUCUAAAAUCAUUUCAACAGGAUAUAAAUCUUGAAUCCCUAUUACUAUUAGGAGACUCAAUUAAUUUCAACUGAAAAUAUUACACAUUUAAUUAUUAACUGAAAUCAAAGUCGCUUUUGGCAGAAUCAAGGACAAUAUAAUCAAUGAGAGGAGCAAUGCUAUAAUCUACUUGAAGAGAAGAAUGAAAAUAAUAUCUUACGUUAAAUAAACAGAAAUUGAAUAGAAGUGUACUAACCGAAGAUAAAAUAUAUUAAUUCUUUCAAAAUUGAGAAUGAAAAUGAAAAUUAUUUGUGUGUUCUUUGUUUGUUGAACGGGAACAGAUACGAGACUUGGAAUCAAUUAAAUCAACCCUAAAUUGAUUAAAAAUACAAUUAAUUCAAGUAUAACCCUAAAAUUAUCAAACUAGAAAGAGAGAAGUAAAAAUAUUAUCAAAAUUAAAGGAAACAAUACCUGAGAUUUGAGAAGCCAAUGAAGCUGAAGUAAGCUGAAAUUCUUCGUGCCUUCUUCGAGAGAGAGAAUGGAGAUGAAAUUUGAAAUUGAGUGAUUGAUAAAAAAGUAUUAGUUCUUUCACACUAAAAAAUUAUUGGUUAAUUUAUUAAUUAACUAUUUAUAAAUAAAUUAAUUAAUGUUAAAAUAAUGUUGAAAGGGUAUAAUUGCAAAAGAAAAAAGAAGUCAUC